GAUGAAGAACGUAGCGAAAUGCGAUAAGUAGUGUGAAUUGCAGAAUUCAGUGAAUCAUCGAAUCUUUGAACGCACAUUGCGCCCCUUGGUAUUCCAUGGGGCAUGCCUGUUCGAGCGUCAUUACAACCCUCAGGCCCCCGGGCCUGGCGUUGGGGAUCGGCGGAGCCCCCCGUGGGCACACGCCGUCCCCCAAAUACAGUGGCGGUCCCGCCGCAGCUUCCAUCGCGUAGUAGCUAACACCUCGCGACUGGAGAGCGGCGCGGCCACGCCGUAAAACACCCAACUCUUCUGAAGUUGACCUCGAAUCAGGUAGGAAUACCCGCUGAACUUAAGCAUAUCAAUAAGCGGAGGA
rnacentral:misc_RNA from 1 species